rnacentral:rRNA from 1 species
AAACUAACAAGGAUUCCCCUAGUAACGGCGAGUGAAGCGGGAAGAGCUCAAAUUUGAAAGCUGGCGCCUUCGGCGUCCGCGUUGUAAUCUCGAGAAGUGUUUUCCGUGCUGGACCAUGUACAAGUUCCUUGGAAUAGGACGUCAUAGAGGGUGAAAAUCCCGUCCUUGACAUGGACGCCCAGUGCUUUGUGAUACGCUCUCCACGAGUCGAGUUGUUUGGGAAUGCAGCUCAAAAUGGGUGGUAAAUUCCAUCUAAAGCUAAAUAUUGGGGAGAGACCGAUAGCGAACAAGUACCGUGAGGGAAAGAUGAAAAGCACUUUGGAAAGAGAGUUAAACAGUACGUGAAAUUGUCGAAAGGGAAGCGCUUGAAGUUAGACAUGCCUGCUGGAAUUCAGCCUUGCUUUUUGCUUGGUGUAUUUUCCGGUGAGCAGGCCAGCAUCAGUUUUGUCUGUCGGAUAAGGGUAGGAGGAACGUAGCCCCCCUCGGGGGGUGUUAUAGCCUCUUACUGGAUACGGCGGAUGGGACUGAGGACCGCAGUGUGCCUUUAUGGCGGGCCUUCGGGCACCUUCACACUUAGGAUGCUGCG